CAAUUGCUAACUAGGAGAUUCACGCGAACGACAUCUUUGAAUGAGAUUCGAUAAACUCUAUGAAAACCUUUUUUUCCUCUCACUUCCACUUUUCCUCUCUCUCAUCUGGUAUCUCUUUCUCAAGCUCUCGUCUAGCUAGUAUCUUUUCAUCACUCAUAGAAAAAAAAUAGAGGGAAGAGUUCUAGUAGAGAAACACCGAUAGCAAAUCCUACAACUACAGGUGAUGCACCACCUUCAUUAGAUGCUUAACGUGUUCAAGUUUCUUAAUCAAUGGCACUAAAGAAGGAGAAAGUUCCGCGACCUCUUCAAAGCCAGCUAAAUCUGGUGCUGGGUUUCAUUCAUAUAACUGUGAAGAGGCAUAUAUUGACUGGAGGACCACAAAAGGCUUCCUUUCACUGUUCCCCCUCAAAUACUAUUAGCACUCAAGAUGGUCAGGUGGCUGCAAGGUCGGGAUGGGUACUAGUCUUCUUGUAUAUUCAUAGACAAACUUUAUAUUUCAAUUCAGGCAGAUGAAAUUGUGUGAGCUUAUGAGGAAUGGUGUUUGGUGUAUUCCCGUGUAAGUGAGAAUUGUUUCUGACUCUCUUAUAUUGCUUGCCUUUUGUAGUGGGGAUGAUUUUAUGAUCUGGAGUGGCACCCUGAAGAAUAAUACUCUUUCUGUUGCUGGGGCUGCUGAGAGAAUAAGAGAUAAGGGGAGAUAUUAAAUUGGGACUCUAAAGUCUGGAAGUCCUUCAUUCAUCCAAGUAUAAAUAAUAAUUUGUGGAAAUUGCAGUGUGGAGCUUAUGUAAAUGCUGAAACAUUGGUCUCCAAGGGUUUUAAUAUGGAGAAGAAUUGGUUACAAUACCUAACAAAAUCUUUCGGCUGUUGCAUCAGGUAAUUUUUGUCUUGUGAUCCUUGUAAGUUUUCUUGGUUGUAUCACGACGAUAUUUUGAUCUUGAGGCCCACCUCCAGAUAACAUUUGAACAUAUCAUACUUUUGUGAGGUGUGACUGAAUCCGACAGUUUGUAAGUGCAUUUAAUAAUGUUGUUCAUUCUGUGUACAUUUAUUAAUCGGACAAUUUGUUAGUGCAUAUCAUCCACUCGAGGUUCUAUCACCUGUCCCAGCUCCGGAACUGGCUUUAAGAUGUACCUGCAAUGCGCAGUAGGCCAGUGUGAUCUUGAAGUAUUCAUAACAUUUGAAGAAGAAGCGUCAGUAAUAGAUAGAUAUUUACUCGAAAUGCUGUUAAAAUUGGCAACUGUAUAAUGGCAAUUGAGAUGUGUUGUAUAAACUCUUAUCUAUAUAUGUUUGUUUCAGUUUUUUAUUAAACUCGUACCUCACUGGCUCUCCUUUCUUUGCAGCCGAAGAGAAGCCAGGUGCUUCUCUUCUAUUAGCUUAAAGACGAAGAUCGAUAAAAUUUAUAAGCAACACAAAGUUAUAUUAGCUUUCUUUGCAGUCGAAGAGAAUCCAGGUGCUUUUGUUCUGUUAGCUUAAAGACGAAGAUCUAUAAAAUUUGAUAAGAUGACUCAGCUCCAACAACAAAGCAUCACUGAAGGAGAGCAAAGAGAUGAAGUUGAUAUUUUCAAUGAAAAGAUAUAUUAUUCCUUCUGGAGAUUUGGUUCAAAUCCAAGCAAAUGGAAUCCCGAAGAUGCGAGCAGGCAAUGCAUUAUUCCAACAAGAGACAUUGAUUCAAAUGUUGAACCAAAUGGACAUGGCUGAAUAGCUUUGAAGAUAACUGGGGAUGACUACUUGAGUGACACUUCUUUAUUAAACAAUAGGCAUGAUGACAGUCGAGAUGGUACAAGCAUAGCAGGUAGCAGUAGCAGUAAUUACCGUUGUAUGGAAUAUGUAAAUAGUGUUUCAUGUUUUCAGUGUUUAGAAUAAUAGGUCAAGAGAUUUCAUUUCUAGAUGAAUUUCAAUUUCUGGUAGUUUUAUUGUUUUUAGGUUGUUUGCCAUAGUAAUGGUAAUAUAUUUGAUUGAGUAAAACUUAAAUCUUUUGUUUUCAGUAUCUAUUAUGAUUUUAUUGAAUAAAUUUUUGUGAAAA